rnacentral:rRNA from 1 species
GACGAACGCUGGCGGCGUGCUUAACACAUGCAAGUCGAACGGGAUCUCGUAAACGGCAGCCUCGUUGGGAGAGCACUAAUGAGAGUGGCGAACGGGUGAGUAACGCGUGAGUAUCCUGCCUAUGACAGGGGGGUAGCCUUGGGAAACCGGGAUUAAUACCGCAUAAAAUCGUAGAAACAAAUGUUUCACCGGUCAAAGAUUUAUUGGGCAUGGUUGGGCUAGCGUCUGAUUAGCUAGUUGGUGCGAGAACAGCCCACCAAGGGGUCGAUCAGUAGCCUGUAUGAGAGGCACGACGGAGACGUUGAGACGAGGACGCAGUCCGAACUACUAGAGGAGGCGGCAGAGGGGGAUAUAGCACAAUGGGGGGGACGCUGAUGCAGCGACGGCGCGAAAACGAGUAAGGUGUUCGUAUAGUAAAGUUCUGUCAUAUGGGGAGAUUAUGACGGUACCAAAGGAAUAAGCACCGGCUAAAUACGUG